rnacentral:lncRNA from 1 species
UUUCCUGCUCCGAUAUCCUCAUCUACGCGGCCCGGGACGCGGCAAGCGCCCUCAGCAAUGGCAACAUCCACUUCGACGUCCCCGCCGGGCGCCUGGACGGCCUCGUGUCCUCGGCCGCCGAGGCCCAGGCGGAGCUUCCCGACUCCACCUUCACCGUGCAGCAGCUCAUCGACAACUUCGCCCGCAAGGACUUCGACGUGGAGGAGCUGGUCAUCUUGUCCGGUGCGCACUCCAUCGGCGUCGGCCACUGCUCCUCCUUCACCGGCCGCCUCACCGCGCCGCCGGAGCAGAUCAACCCGGCCUACCGCAACCUGCUCAACCACAAGUGCCACCAGGGCGCCAACCCCGCCGUCGUCAACAACGUCCGCGACGAGGACUACGAGACGGUCGCCAGGUUCAUGCCGGGGUUCACCAGCCGGGUGCGCAAGAUCAGCGACGUCCUGGACAACACCUUCUACCACAACAACCUCGCCAGGAUCGUCAGCUUCAACUCCGACUGGCAGCUCAUGACCCACACCGAGGCCAGGGGACACGUCCACGAGUACGCCGACAACGCCACGCUCUGGGACGGGGACUUCGCCGAGUCAUUGCUCAAGCU